AACAAUCAACCAUCAACCAUACGAGAAGACAACAUCGAACACCAUACUUUUCACUCAAAAUCGGUCCCUGAUGGUUAUGAUGGAUGACCCGUCACUAGAGUGAUGAUUGUCACCCACACCGUCAUACCCUUUCCUCACAAGCCCGUCACCCCAAGACGGCCGAAAGGAAAAAUACCGCCUGGAGACCAUUACAGCCUCCCUG
rnacentral:lncRNA from 1 species